CAUGUCAGGCUUGUGGCUUUGAUGAAAAAGGACAUUGUCAGUGCUCUUCCACGUUGUCCCCCAUAUCUCAAAAAAUACAACUUACUGUACAUGUACAAUGACACCUUUGUGCACUACUGUAUCUUGCCAGUUUAGAGACCUUGUAUUUUGGCACACUGUAUUGCAGCCCUCCCCAAAAAAAUUCAUAUCCAAACUGAGGCCUUAAGAGCGAAAGCUUUGAAUGCAACCUCAUUCGACUGCAUACAAAGAUAUAUCAAAUUCACAGAUGCUCUAGAAAAAACAUGACCAACUCCCUGGUGGUCUAGUGGUUAGGAUUCGGCGCUCUCACCGCCGCGGCCCGGGUUCGAUUCCCGGUCAGGGAAUACACUCUUUGAACAUCUGGGGCCUCAUGUAUCAACACUUGCGUGGAACUCAUACCAGAAACGAGCGCACGCAAGGUCCGUCACGCUGAAAAAAAUCCGUAUGUAUCAAUGUGUGCGGGCGCCGAAAUCCACGUGUGUUUCCUUGAUAAAUCCCAAUCAGCGUGGAAUUGAGCGCAGAUGUCGGAGUGACUGGGCCCGUCCCCGUUACGCCCUCCUAUAAAUAUGCAGAUUUAUUUAAAUAGGGUCUCCCUGUCCUCGCACGCAGACAAAAUGACAAGAAAAACUACAUUUACGGCGUGCGAGGUGGAGGUGCUGGUGGCGGAGGUGGAGGAGCGACAGCGUGUUUUGUUUGGCAGCCUGUCCAGUGGCGUCAGUGCAAAACAAAAACGCUUGGAGUGGGAGAAAGUUUGCGAGAGGGUGAAUGCGGUGGGUUCCGAGACACGCACCCCCGCGGAGAUUAAAAAAGUGGUCGGACCUCAAGGUGGAGGUCAAGCGGCGUACAGCUGCCCUCCGGAGGAGUACCGGCCAGACAGGUGGGGGUCCGGGGGAGGAGACCCUCACACCGUUUGAGCAGCGGGUGGUGGCGAUUAUUAUUAUAGGGUAAGUGGCGUGUCACACAAAUGUCCACAUGCUUUGUCAUCCCACUGAGCAAAAGACGUAUAUUAGACGUCUAGUCUAAGUUUAUACUUCAUUUCAACGUCGGGAUUCAGUCUAUUUUUAGACGUGAUUUAUACUUCGCCCUUAACUUCAUUUUUCAAUAACUUUUUAUGCAAUAAACAACUGUAAUGUGCAUAACUGACCUCGAAAUACUGGAUUACAUUACCUAUGAUACUGUGGAGAGAGAUGUAAAUGCAACAGAUACACAGAAGCAGGAAUUGAAAUGAACAAAUAUUUUUAUUGUGUCACAGAAAUUAAUGUGUCGGCCGUGUCGCCGGCUUGCGGAACCCCGGCCCGCGGCAGCCCGUCCGCCGGCUCGGAGUCGUCGGCCAGGACCAGCGGCAUUCGGGCCACCCCGGCCCCAGCACCAGCAUCAGCACCAGCGCGCCGACAAGCGGUGGAGCGUCCACCAGCCGCGGCGCUUCCGCUGGACCACCCGGACGCAGUGGAAGGGUCCUCGCGGAGGGGGUCCUGCAAUCGCAGGAAGAAAUCAUCAGGGGGAUCGCGGGGAUCAACGAGCGGCUGGACCGGCUCGUAAAUUUCCUCGAGCGUCUGGUGGAGAAAAUAAAUUAAUUUGGCUCAUUGAACUGUGUAUUCACUUCUUACCCAUUCACACUGUGGCGAUGAGAUUCUCCCGCGCGAGGACGGCGGCCCGGCAGGGAUCAGCUCGCAUCCCUCCGUCUGCUGCUGGUUCGUCAUGUGGGGCGACGUGCUGCCCGGCCACGGGGAUGUGGUGCACGCUUGUCACAUAGUGAGUCACCAAACACCGCCACACAGCGUCGCCAAAGUGCAAAUCACAGUCAACGCAAAUAUCCAGCUCAACGCCAAUUUCUACACCACCUCCUGACUUUGCGUUGAUUAGCGCUGGAACCGACGCUCGUUUCGCGAUGAUAAAUCUGGACGUGUGCGCCGAUUUUGGCGUACGCAAGGUUUUCUUGCGCCGCAAGCGUUGAUACAUGAGGCCCCUGGUGUCCUCUCUAUAUAGUGAAGCUUGGUCACGGUGGGGGUGCCAUGUCAGGCUUGUGGCUUUGAUGAAAAAGGACAUUGUCAGUGCUCUUCCACGUUGUCCCCCAUAUCUCAAAAAAUACAACUUACUGUACAUGUACAAUGACACCUUUGUACACUACCGUAUCUUGCCAGUUUAGAGACCUCGUAUUUUGGCACACUGUAUUGCAGCCCUCCCAAAAAAAGAUUCAUAUCCAAACUGAGGCCUUAAGAGCAACUGCUUUGAACACAACCUCAUUCGACUGCAUACAAAGAUAUAUCAAAUUCACAGAUGCUCUAGAAAAAACAUGACCAACUCCCUGGUGGUCUAGUGGUUAGGAUUCGGCGCUCUCACCGCCGCGGCCCGGGUUCGAUUCCCGGUCAGGGAAUACACUCUUUGAACAUCUGGUGUCCUCUCUGAAUACUGAAGCUUGGUCACGGUGGGGGUGCCAUGUCAGGCUUGUGGCUUUGAUGAAAAAGGACAUUGUCAGUGCUCUUCCACGUUGUCCCCCAUAUCUCAAAAAAUACAACUUACUGUACAUGUACAAUGACACCUUUGUACACUACCGUAUCUUGCCAGUUUAGAGACCUUGUAUUUUGGCACACUGUAUUGCAGCCCUCCCAAAAAAGAUUCAUAUCCAAACUGAGGCCUUAAGAGCAACUGCUUUGAACACAACCUCAUUCGACUGCAUACAAAGAUAUAUCAAAUUCACAGAUGCUCUAGAAAAAACAUGACCAACUCCCUGGUGGUCUAGUGGUUAGGAUUCGGCGUUGGCGUUUCACCGCCGCGGCCGGGUUCGAUUCCCGGUCAGGGAAUACACUCUUGAACAUCUGGUGUCCUCUCUGUAUAGUGAAGCUUGGUCACGGUGGGGGUGCCAUGUCAGGCUUGUGGCUUUGAUGAAAAAGGACAUUGUCAGUGCUCUUCCACGUUGUCCCCCAUAUCUCAAAAAAUACAACUUACUGUACAUGUACAAUGACACCUUUGUACACUGUUGUAUCUUGCCAGUUUAGAGACCUCGUAUUUUGGCACACUGUAUUGCAGCCCUCCCAAAAAAAGAUUCAUAUCCAAACUGAGGCCUUAAGAGCAACUGCUUUGAACACAACCUCAUUCGACUGCAUACAAAGAUAUAUCAAAUUCACAGAUGCUCUAGAAAAACCAUGACCAACUCCCUGGUGGUCUAGUGGUUAGGAUUCGGCGCUCUCACCGCCGCGGCCAGGUUUCGAUUCCCGGUCAGGGAAUACACUCUUUGAACAUCUGGUGUCCUCUCUGUAUAGUGAAGCUUGGUCACGGUGGGGGUGCCAUGUCAGGCUUGUGGCUUUGAUGAAAAAGGACAUUGUCAGUGCUCUUCCACGUUGUCACCCAAAUCUCAAAAAAUACAACUUACUGUACAUGUACAAUGACACCUAUGUACACUACUGUAUCUUGCCACUUUAGAGACCUUGUAUUUUGGCACACUGUAUUGCAGCCCUCCCAAAAAAGAUUCAUAUCCAAACUGAGGCCUUAAGAGCAACUGCUUUGAACACAACCUCAUUCGACUGCAUACAAAGAUAUAUCAAAUUCACAGAUGCUCUAGAAAACCCAUGACCAACUCCCUGGUGGUCUAGUGGUUAGGAUUCGGCGUUUUCACCGCCGCGGCCCGGGUUCGAUUCCCGGUCAGGGAAUACACUCUUUGAACAUCUGGUGUCCUCUCUGUAUAGUGAAGCUUGGUCACGGUGGGGGUGCCAUGUCAGGCUUGUGGCUUUGAUGAAAAAGGACAUUGACAGUGCUCUUCCACAUUGUCCCCCAUAUCUCAAAAAAUACAACUUACUGUACAUGUACAAUGACACCUUUGUACACUACCGUAUCUUGCCAGUUUAGAGACCUCAUAUUUUGGCACACUGUAUUGCAGCCCUCCCAAAAAAGAUUCAUAUCCAAACUGAGGCCUUAAGAGCAACUGCUUUGAACACAACCUCAUUCGACUGCAUACAAAGAUAUAUCAAAUUCAAAGAUGCUCUAGAAAAAACAUGACCAACUCCCUGGUGGUCUAGUGGUUAGGAUUCGGCGUUUUCACCGCCGCGGCCCGGGUUCGAUUCCCGGUCAGGGAAUACACUCUUUGAACAUCUGGUGUCCUCUCUGUAUAGUGAAGCUUGGUCACGGUGGGGGUGCCAUGUCAGGCUUGUGGCUUUGAUGAAAAAGGACAUUGUCAGUGCUCUUCCACGUUGUCCCCCAUAUCUCAAAAAAUACAACUUACUGUACAUGUACAAUGACACCUUUGUACACUACCGUAUCUUGCCAGUUUAGAGACCUCGUAUUUUGGCACACUGUAUUGCAGCCCUCCCAAAAAAGAUUCAUAUCCAAACUGAGGCCUUAAGAGCAACUGCUUUGAACACAACCUCAUUCGACUGCAUACAAAGAUAUAUCAAAUUCAAAGAUCCUCUAGAAAAAACAUGACCAACUCCCUGGUGGUCUAGUGGUUAGGAUUCGGCGCUCUCACCGCCGCGGCCCGGGUUCGAUUCCCGGUCAGGGAAUACACUCUUUGAACAUCUGGUGUCCUCUCUGUAUAGUGAAGCUUGGUCACGGUGGGGGUGCCAUGUCAGGCUUGUGGCUUUGAUGAAAAAGGACAUUGUCAGUGCUCUUCCAUGUUGUCCCCCAUAUCUCAAAAAAUACAACUUACUGUACAUGUACAAUGACACCUUUGUGCACUACUGUAUCUUGCCAGUUUAGAGACCUUGUAUUUUGGCACACUGUAUUGCAGCCCUCCCAAAAAGAUUCAUAUCCAAACUGAGGCCUUAAGAGCGAAAGCUUUGAACAACCUCAUUCGACUGCAUACAAAGAUAUAUCAAAUUCACAGAUGCUCUAGAAAAAACAUGACCAACUCCCUGGUGGUCUAGUGGUUAGGAUUCGGCGCUCUCACCGCCGCGGCCCGGGUUCGAUUCCCGGUCAGGGAAUACACUCUUUGAACAUCUGGUGUCCUCUCUGUAUAGUGAAGCUUGGUCACGGUGGGGGUGCCAUGUCAGGCUUGUGGCUUUGAUGAAAAAGGACAUUGUCAGUGCUCUUCCACGUUGUCCCCCAUAUCUCAAAAAAUACAACUUACUGUACAUGUACAAUGACACCUUUGUACACUACCGUAUCUUGCCAGUUUAGAGACCUCGUAUUUUGGCACACUGUAUUGCAGCCCUCCCAAAAAAGAUUCAUAUCCAAACUGAGGCCUUAAGAGCAACUGCUUUUAACACAACCUCAUUCGACUGCAUACAAAGAUAUAUCAAAUUCACAGAUGCUCUAGAAAAAACAUGACCAACUCCCUGGUGGUCUAGUGGUUAGGAUUCGGCGUUUUCACCGCCGCGGCCCGGGUUCGAUUCCCGGUCAGGGAAUACACUCUUUGAACAUCUGGUGUCCUCUCUGUAUAGUGAAGCUUGGUCACGGUGGGGGUGCCAUGUCAGGCUUGUGGCUUUGAUGAAAAAGGACAUUGUCAGUGCCCUUCCACGUUGUCCCCCAUAUCUCUCAAAAAAUACAACUUACUGUACAUGUACAAUGACACCUUUGUACACUGUUGUAUCUUGCCAGUUUAGAGACCUCGUAUUUUGGCACACUGUAUUGCAGCCCUCCCAAAAAAGAUUCAUAUCCAAACUGAGGCCUUAAGAGCAACUGCUUUGAACACAACCUCAUUCGACUGCAUACAAAGAUAUAUCAAAUUCACAGAUGCUCUAGAAAAAACAUGACCAACUCCCUGGUGGUCUAGUGGUUAGGAUUCGGCGUUUCACCGCCGCGGCCCGGGUUCGAUUCCCGGUCAGGGAAUACACUCUUUGAACAUCUGGUGUCCUCUCUGUAUAGUGAAGCUUGGUCACGGUGGGGGUGCCAUGUCAGGCUUGUGGCUUUGAUGAAAAAGGACAUUGUCAGUGCUCUUCCAAAUUGUCCCCCAUAUCUCAAAAAAUACAACUUACUGUACAUGUACAAUGACACCUUUGUGCACUACUGUAUCUUGCCAGUAUACAGACCGUGUAUUUUGGCACACUGUAUUGCAGCCCUCCCAAAAAAGAUUCAUAUCCAAACUGAGGCCUUAAGAGCAACUGCUUUGAACACAACCUCAUUCGACUGCAAACAAAGAUAUAUCAAAUUCACAGAUGCUCUAGAAAAAACAUGACCAACUCCCUGGUGGUCUAGUGGUUAGGAUUCGGCAUUUUCACCGCCGCGGCCCGGGUUCGAUUCCCGGUCAGGGAAUACACUCUUUGAACAUCUGGUGUCCUCUCUGAAUACUGAAGCUUGGUCACGGUGGGGGUGCCAUGUCAGGCUUGUGGCUUUGAUGAAAAAGGACAUUGUCAGUUCUCUUCCACGUUGUCACCCAAAUCUCAAAAAAUACAACUUACUGUACAUGUACAAUGACACCUAUGUACACUACUGUAUCUUGCCACUUUAGAGACCUCAUAUUUUGGCACACUGUAUUGCAGCCCUCCCAAAAAAGAUUCAUAUCCAAACUGAGGCCUUAAGAGCAACUGCUUUGAACACAACCUCAUUCGACUGCAUACAAAGAUAUAUCAAAUUCACAGAUGCUCUAGAAAACCCAUGACCAACUCCCUGGUGGUCUAGUGGUUAGGAUUCGGCGUUUUCACCGCCGCGGCCCGGGUUCGAUUCCCGGUCAGGGAAUACACUCUUUGAACAUCUGGUGUCCUCUCUGUAUAGUGAAGCUUGGUCACGGUGGGGGUGCCAUGUCAGGCUUGUGGCUUUGAUGAAAAAGGACAUUGUCAGUGCUCUUCCACGUUGUCCCCCAUAUCUCAAAAAAUACAACUUACUGUACAUGUACAAUGACACCUUUGUACACUACCGUAUCUUGCCAGUUUAGAGACCUCGUAUUUUGGCACACUGUAUUGCAGCCCUUCCAAAAAAGAUUCAUAUCCAAACUGAGGCCUUAAGAGCAACUGCUUUGAACACAACCUCAUUCGACUGCAUACAAAGAUAUAUCAAAUUCAAAGAUCCUCUAGAAAAAACAUGACCAACUCCCUGGUGGUCUAGUGGUUAGGAUUCGGCGCUCUCACCGCCGCGGCCCGGGUUCGAUUCCCGGUCAGGGAAUACACUCUUUGAACAUCUGGUGUCCUCUCUGUAUAGUGAAAAUUGGUCACGGUGGGUGUGCCAUGUCAGGCUUGUGGCUUUGAUGAAAAAGGAAAUUGUCAGUGCUCUUCCACGUUGUCCCCCAUAUCUCAAAAAAUACAACUUACUGUACAUGUACAAUGACACCUUUGUGCACUACUGUAUCUUGCCAGUUUAGAGACCUUGUAUUUUGGCACACUGUAUUGCAGCCCUCCCAAACGAAAUUCAUAUCCAAACUGAGGCCUUAAGAGCGAAAGCUUUGAAUGCAACCUCAUUCGACUGCAAACAAAGAUAUAUCAAAUUCACAGAUGCUCUAGAAAAAACAUGACCAACUCCCUGGUGGUCUAGUGGUUAGGAUUCGGCGCUCUCACCGCCGCGGCCCGGGUUCGAUUCCCGGUCAGGGAAUACACUCUUUGAACAUCUGGUGUCCUCUCUGUAUAGUGAAGCUUGGUCACGGUGGGGGUGCCAUGUCAGGCUUGUGGCUUUGAUGAAAAAGGACAUUGUCAGUGCUCUUCCA